rnacentral:rRNA from 1 species
AGCGAACGCUGGCGGCAGGCUUAACACAUGCAAGUCGAACGGGCUUCUUCGGACGUCAGUGGCAGACGGGUGAGUAACACGUGGGAACGUGCCCUUCGGUUCGGAAUAACUCAGGGAAACUUGAGCUAAUACCGGAUACGCCCUUUUGGGGAAAGGUUUACUGCCGAAGGAUCGGCCCGCGUCUGAUUAGCUUGUUGGUGGGGUAACGGCCUGCCAAGGCGACGAUCAGUAGCUGGUCUGAGAGGAUGAUCAGCCACACUGGGACUGAGACACGGCCCAGACUCCUACGGGAGGCAGCAGUGGGGAAUAUUGGACAAUGGGCGCAAGCCUGAUCCAGCCAUGCCGCGUGAGUGAUGAAGGCCUUAGGGUUGUAAAGCUCUUUUGUCCGGGACGAUAAUGACGGUACCGGAAGAAUAAGCCCCGGCUAACUUCGUG